AUUGAACGCUGGCGGCAGGCCUAACACAUGCAAGUCGAGCGGGGUUUUCGGACCUAGCGGCGGACGGGUGAGUAAUGCGUAGGAAGCUACCCGAUAGAGGGGGACACCAGUUGGAAACGACUGUUAAUACCGCAUAAUGUCUACGGACCAAAGUGUGGGACCUUCGGGCCACAUGCUAUCGGAUGUGCCUACGUGGGAUUAGCUAGUUGGUGAGGUAAUGGCUCACCGAGGCGACGAUCCCUAGCUGGUUUGAGAGGAUGAUCAGCCACACUGGAACUGAGACACGGUCCAGACUCCUACGGGAGGCAGCAGUGGGGAAUAUUGGACAAUGGGCGCAAGCCUGAUCCAGCCAUGCCGCGUGUGUGAAGAAGGCCUUCGGGUUGUAAAGCACUUUCAGUAAGGAGGAAGCGUUGAGUGUUAAUAGUACUCAGCGUUGACGUUACUUACAGAAGAAGUACCGGCUAACUCUGUGCCAGCCGCCGCCGUUAAGAC
rnacentral:rRNA from 1 species